UGCAGAUAUUAGCAGGCUGUGCUUCCUUCAGAGCCCACCAGCUUUCCCCUCCCACCUCCUUCAGGCUUGUUGCUCUCCACGGAGUGUGUUUGUGUUUAAAUUAGCUGGACCAUUGGAGGCUAAGAGACUGAUUAAUCUUCAGAUGUACCACAAGAUAGAAGUUAACAGCCUAGCUGAGGGACUUGAGUGGUUCCUCCAGGGUAAAUCUUCCUCUCCAGAAGAGUGUGGAGGGAGAUAUCCAGAAUGGUUCCACUGUUAAGGAAAGCUCCAGUGACAGUGCUCUGCUGAAGCUGCAUGUUUUCUCCACACAUCCAAAAAUGUGAGGAAUUUCUUAGAAGAUUGGCAAGUCUCACUGGAUUCAACUCAGAAACACAGCUGAAAUAUUCUGAAGCAGGAAGGAAUUAGGUAGAAGAAGAAAUACAGAUGACGGGGAAAAAUCUCCAAAUGCAGCCAAACUGAUGCAAAAGCGAAUUAAAGUGUAACAGUGAUUUUAAGAAAGGUUUGAUAUUUCCAUUAUGAGUAUAAAUAUUAAAUGCAGCCUGCAUUAAAGGAGUUACUGAUAAUGUCCACCAAAACUGGAAUGAAUAAUAAGCCACAAAAUCAUGCACUACAGAAAGAAGCCUGCUGCAUGCAAGACCAUGAAAACAUGGGUUGCAAGACAUGUUGAAAAUCUGAAAAUAAAUUGGUUCUCAGCACAGAUA